UUCCGGUUGAUCCUGCCGGACCCGACUGCUAUCAGAGUGGGACUAAGCCAUGCGAGUCAACGUAGCAAUACGUGGCAUACGGCUCAGUAACACGUAGUCAACAUGCCCAGGGGACGAGGAUAACCUCGGGAAACUGAGGAUAAACCUCGAUAGGCCAUGAUUUCUGGAAUGAUUCUUGGCUCAAACCUAUAUGGCCCCUGGAUUGGACUGCGGCCGAUCAGGCUGUUGGUGAGGUAAUGGCCCACCAAACCUAUUACCGGUACGGGCUCUGAGAGGAGGAGCCCGGAGAUGGGCACUGAGACAAGGGCCCAGGCCCUAUGGGGCGCAGCAGGCGCGAAACCUCUGCAAUAGGCGAAAGCUUGACAGGGUUACUCUGAGUGAUUUCCGCUAAGGGAAUCUUUUGGCACCUCUAAAAAUGGUGCAGAAUAAGGGGUGGGCAAGUCUGGUGUCAGCCGCCGCGGUAAUACCAGCACCCCGAGUGGUCGGGACGAUUAUUGGGCCUAAAGCAUCCGUAGCCGGUCCUGCAAGUCUUCCGUUAAAUCCAGCUGCUCAACAGAUGGGCUGCGGGAGAUACUACAGGGCUAGGAGGCGGGAGAGGCAAGCGGUACUUUAUGGGUAGGGGUAAAAUCCGCUGAUCCAUAGAAGACCACCAGUGGCGAAGGCGGCUUGCCAGAACGCGCUCGACGGUGAGGGACGAAAGCUGGGGGAGCAAACCGGAUUAGAUACCCGGGUAGUCCCAG
rnacentral:rRNA from 1 species